rnacentral:rRNA from 1 species
AGCGUGCGCAGGCGGUUAUAUAAGACAGAUGUGAAAUCCCCGGGCCUCAACCUGGGAACUGCAUUUGUGACUGUAUAGCUGGAGUGCGGCAGAGGGGGAUGGAAUUCCGCGUGUAGCAGUGAAAUGCGUAGAUAUGCGGAGGAACACCGAUGGCGAAGGCAAUCCCCCUGGGCCUGCACUGACGCUCAUGCACGAAAGCGUGGGGAGCAAACAGGAUUAGAUACCCCAGU